rnacentral:lncRNA from 1 species
CUCGGAACAGGAACAGCAACGGGGCCUGGCCCGCGCCUGCCUCUGCCCUGGCGGGCAGAGCGGCGGCGACCGGGGCCUGGGAAGCCGCUCCUUCCCUGUCCCCAACAAGUUCUCUUUGCAUGCAGCGCGCGCGAGCGAGCGAGCGAGCGAGCGAAUAAAGUCCUGAGCCCACAGAGCGCCACAUUCACCCGGCACAGCACUGCACCCGGGAGGACGCUAGAGGGGUGACCGCGGGCCAGUUUCUUGUGCUGCAGUUCGAUGAGGAAUGCUUUGCAACUUCCAAGAGGCAAUGAUUCAGAUCCUGCUUCUCACUGCAGAAGAUGCUGCCUGGGGAGAAAGGAGUGCUGAGCGCCCAGCCGCCCUUCACGCAUGUCCUCCUGGCCCCACCGCAGCCCAGCAGUGACUGUCAUUCAGCACCUGCAUCCCAAUUUCUGGGUGCGAAAGCCCAGGUUUGGGAAGGUGGAAGCAUUUUGGGGAGGACAUAGAUUCAGUAAGUGUCCAACUUCUGGAUCCUCCCCUCUCACCCCCACACCGUGUCUCCUAAAAAGUUUACAUCCUGAACACCUGGGACGUUUGCUUUCUGAGCCCCUAAUGAAGGACUUAUCAUGCCCCCCUUUUUGUUUGGGGUGCCAGGAAGCUCAAAGUAAACUUACCCAGGAUCUGUCUUCAUCCCUCAAGUUCCUGACAGGAUUGCCUCUGCCUACCCCCCUCUGGUUUCUGAUCUCAUGCUCUAUUUUUAGCUGUUGUUGAGUGUGUUGUGGAGGAAGCUGCCUCAAGUUCCCUUUGAACUGUAAAUAAACCGAAGCCGUUCUGGUGGUGGAUUCACAGCAGUCCUCCGAGGGAAGGCUCCCCGUGCUGGACCAAGGCCACACGAGCUGCCCUGCUCUCUGACACGAGCCCUGGGGGGGUGAUGCCAGGGUCAGAAAGGGGGCUGGGCCCUGCGGGUGUGGCUGGUCCAGGCUGGUCCAUGUGGGGCCUCGGGCUCUGUUCCGGAACGGUCCCCUGCAGAACUUCCCCCCUCCGGGCCACCCGACUUCCGCUCAGGCAGCAGCUCAAAUCUUGGGUGCCUUCAAACCUGAGUGACUUUGCCCGAUACCCAGGCACCCACAGGAAGGGUUAUCUCGGGACAGCAGGGAGAGGAGAGCACCAGUGCCAGCGGCAGCCCCGGCCCUGAGCAGCUCUGGACACCUGGAGGAGGCCGCCUGGCCCCAGGUCUCCUACUAGGAAGUCCUUACCCUUUGGUGCUGGCCAAGGAAAGUGUGGCAAACAGCCUGGCACUGCCAGUGUGGAGCUGUGUGACCUCACGCUUUGACUUUCCUCUCUUCAUGCCUCCAUUUCCCCAUCUGCAGUAGGAAGAUGCUAACAAUAGUACCCAGCCAUUAGAACUCUGGUUAGGAUCAAACGACUCCAUUCGUGUAAAAUGCUUAUACCAUAAACCAUCAUGGUGGCACAUACCUGUGAUCUCAGCACUCAGAAGGCUGAGACAGGAGGAUUUUGGUGAGUUCGAGGGCAGCCUGGGCUACAUAGAAAGACAGUCUCAAUCAAUCACCAGUCAAUGUAUGGUUAUAGCAAUGCCUGAUAUGGAGUGAACCCCCAGAAAAUGUGAAAUUUUUUCUAUUUAUUUAUUUAUUUAUUUAUUUUUGGUACCAGGGAUCGAACUCGGG